GAUGAACGCUGGCGGCGUGCCUAACACAUGCAAGUCGAACGAGAAGCUAACUUCUGAUUCCUUCGGGAUGAUGAGGUUAGCAGAAAGUGGCGAACGGGUGAGUAACGCGUGGGUAAUCUACCCUGUUAAGUGGGGGAUAACCCUCCGAAAGGAGGGCUAAUACCGCAUAAUAUCUUCACUUCCCAAGAAGAGAAGAUUAAAGAUGGCCUCUAUACUAUGCUAUCACUUCAGGAUGAGCCUGCGUCCUAUUAGUUAGUUGGUGGGGUAAUGGCCUACCAAGACUACCAUGGGUAGCCGGUCUGAGAGGAUGUACGGCCACACUGGGACUGAGAUACGGCCCAGACUCCUACGGGAGGCAGCAGUGGGGAAUAUUGCGCAAUGGGGGAAACCCUGACGCAGCGACGCCGCGUGGAUGAUGAAGGCCCUUGGGUUGUAAAAUCCUGUUCUGGGGGAAGAAAGCUUAAAGGUCCAAUAAACCCUUAAGCCUGACGGUACCCCAAGAGAAAGCUCCGGCUAAUUAUGUGCCAGCAGCC
rnacentral:rRNA from 1 species